rnacentral:rRNA from 1 species
CACCCUCCCGGUUGGGGAGGAGGUAGUAAUGGGAGAGUAUUCUAUUCGGAUCUUUUAUUAUAGUCGAAAGAAUUAAAUCUUUACAAUAUAAGAUAAGGCUUCUCCUUUUAGGUCUGAGAAACUUAUGUGCCAGCACUAGCGGUCAAACAUAAGGUCCAUAUUACCUUCAUUCCGAGUAUCACAAGAGUUCCUAAUGAGAGGCAAGAGGUCAAAUUCAUAGCCUUUCUUAUAAUUAUUUAUAAAGUCGUGAGAAAUUCAAGAUAUAAACUAGGAUUAGAUACCCUAUUAUACUUGAUCAUAUAAGACUACUUAGAGAGUAACAGUUAAGAUCUUCAAAUCAAAAUCGAAUGGCAGUGGAAUUCCUAUUCAGAGGCUCAUGCUCAUAAUCGACGGUACCCGAAAAUCUUACCUUUGCUUAAAUCUUGUACACCGCUGUCGGAAGGUGAUAUCCCGUUAACUCACCGUAUCCCAUGAAGGGGAGUAAGUCAAGUCAAGGUGCAGCCCAUGCGAAGGCCGAAGUGUGAGCUAUUAUUUACUAUUUACUCAUUGUAAAGGAGUAAGGGUUACAAAUUUGACAGUAAAUUUUGCAGUAUAAUUAAUAUUAUUUAAAUAAGUAAAAUUCCGUGUACAAAUCGCCCGUCACUCCGAUAAGCAGCGGAUAAGUCGUAACACAGUUGUCCUACUGGAAAGUGGGGCAAGUUAUAUUUAUUGUGUUACGGCUCUAACUCCGUUGUUGU